rnacentral:rRNA from 1 species
CGAUAACGAACGAGACCUUAACCUGCUAAAUAGCUAGGCUUAAUUUAUUAAGUCGUCAGCUUCUUAGAGGGACUAUCGGUGUUUAACCGAUGGAAGUUUGAGGCAAUAACAGGUCUGUGAUGCCGCUAGAUGUCUGGGGCUGCACGCGCGUUACACUGACAACAUCAACAUGUAUUCAAUUUUCGCCUUGGGCUAAGUGCUCUGGGAAAUCAUUGAAGAUGUUUGUCGUGAUGAGGAUUAUGUAUUGGAAUUAUUACAUACAAAUGAGGAAUUCCUAGUAAGGGUGUCUCAUCAAGGCGCCCUGAUUACGUCCCUGCCCUUUGUACACACCGCCCGUCGCUACUACCGAUUGAAUGGCU